AUUGAACGCUGGCGGCAGGCUUAACACAUGCAAGUCGAACGAGUGGCGGACGGGUGCGUAAUGCUUGGGAAUCUAGCUUCUGGAGGGGGAUAACUACGGGAAACUGUAGCUAAUACCGCGUACCAUAGGAUGAGCCCAAGUGGGUUUAGGUAGUUGGUGAGGUAAAGGCUCACCAAGCAGACGAUCUCUAGCUGGUCUGAGAGGAUGACCGGCAAAACUGGGACUGAGACACGGCCCAGACUCCUACGGAGGGAAACAGUGGGGAAUAUUGGGCAAUGGGGGCAACCUGACGCAGCAAUGCCGCGUGAAUGAAGAAGGCCUUCGGGUUGAAAAGUUCUUUCGGUAGCGAGGCGUUAACUACAGAGGAAGCACCGGCUAACUCCGUGCCAGCAGCCGCGGUAAUAC
rnacentral:rRNA from 1 species